rnacentral:rRNA from 1 species
UACGGAGGGAGCUAGCGUUGUUCGGAAUUACUGGGCGUAAAGCGCACGUAGGCGGCUUUGUAAGUUAGAGGUGAAAGCCCGGGGCUCAACUCCGGAACUGCCUUUAAGACUGCAUCGCUUGAAUCCAGGAGAGGUGAGUGGAAUUCCGAGUGUAGAGGUGAGAUUCGUAGAUAUUCGGAAGAACACCAGUGGCGAAGGCGGCUCACUGGACUGGUAUUGACGCUGAGGUGCGAAAGCGUGGGGAGCAAACAGG